GUAGGUGGCAAGCGUUGUCCGGAAUUAUUGGGCGUAAAGCGCGCGCAGGCGGUUCUUUAAGUCUGAUGUGAAAGCCCACGGCUCAACCGUGGAGGGUCAUUGGAAACUGGAGAACUUGAGUACAGAAGAGGAAAGCGGAAUUCCACGUGUAGCGGUGAAAUGCGUAGAGAUGUGGAGGAACACCAGUGGCGAAGGCGGCUUUCUGGUCUGUAACUGACGCUGAGGCGCGAAAAGCGUGGGGAGCAAACAGGAUUAGAUACCCUGGUAGUCCACGCCGUAAACGAUGAGUGCUAAGUGUUAGGGGGGUUUUCCGCCCCCCUUAGUGCUGCAGCUAACGCAUUAAGCACUCCGCCUGGGAGUACGGCCGCAAGGCUG
rnacentral:rRNA from 1 species